rnacentral:ncRNA from 2 species
AAGAAGAGCAUCGCUUCUGGUGCUUUGGAAGCUCAAUAGGGAAGCCGGUGAGAAUCCGGCGCGGCCCCGCCACUGUGAUCGUGGAGGGCUGGCCAUAAUGCCACUGACCGCGUGGGCGUCGCUGAAAAGCGAAGGCGUAACGGUCGGGAAGGCGGCCAGCCUGAUGAAACGAGAGUCAGGAGACCUGCCAGAAGUGGGAUGAGUGA